AAACAUUGCCUACUGCAUUCAUACUAGGUCCAUCCUGCCCAGUGAUAUAAUUCAACGGCCGCGGUAUCCUGACCGUGCAAAGGUAGCAUAAUCAUUUGCCUUUUAAUUGGAGGCUAGUAUGAACGGACAAACGAGAAUUAAGCUGUCUCAUGUAAACUAAUAUAAACUGAUAUCCAGGUGAAGAAGCCUGGAACUUAAUAAAGGACAAGAAGACCCUAUUGAGCUUUACUACCCAUGUCCUAGUUAAUUAACCCGCUAACCAUAGUCGUAGUUUGGUUGGGGCGACCUUUGAUCACUAUUAACAUCUUAUACACCUAUGAAUAACUAUUCUUCACACCCCCUCCGGAAAUUGACAUAGCUACCAUAGGGAUAACAGGCUAAUCUUACUAGAGAGCUCAAAUUGACAGUAAGGGUUGGCACCUCGAUGUUGGCUUAGUGAACCCCUUAGGUGUAGCCGCUUAACUGGGCGGUUUGUUCAACCGUUAAAUCACUACGUGAUCUGA
rnacentral:rRNA from 1 species